CAGUCGCCACGGUAAUACAGAGGGUGCGAGCGUUAAUCGGAUUUACUGGGCGUAAAGCGUGCGUAGGCGGCUUCUUAAGUCGGAUGUGAAAUCCCUGAGCUUAACUUAGGAAUUGCAUUCGAUACUGGGAAGCUAGAGUAUGGGAGAGGAUGGUAGAAUUCCAGGUGUAGCGGUGAAAUGCGUAGAGAUCUGGAGGAAUACCGAUGGCGAAGGCAGCCAUCUGGCCUAAUACUGACGCUGAGGUACGAAAGCAUGGGGAGCAAACAGGAUUAGAUACCCGAGUAGUCCCUGUCUCUUAUAA
rnacentral:rRNA from 1 species